UGUGCCCAGAUGGGAUUAGCUAGUAGGUGGGGUAACGGCUCACCUAGGNGACGAUCCCUAGCUGGUCUGAGAGGAUGACCAGCCACACUGGAACUGAGACACGGUCCAGACUCCUACGGGAGCAGCAUG
rnacentral:rRNA from 1 species